CCCCACCCCCAUACCACCCUGAUUAUGCCCGAUCUUGUCUGAUCUUGGAAGCUAAGCAGGGUCAGGCCUGGUUAGUACUUGGAUGGGAGAUAACCUGGGAAUACUGGGUGCUGUAGGCU
rnacentral:rRNA from 1 species